AUGGCUCAGAUUGAACGCUGGCGGCCAGGCCUAACACAUGCAAGUCGAACGGUAACAGGAAGAAGCUUGCUUCUUUGCUGACGAGUGGCGGACGGGUGAGUAAUGUCUGGGAAACUGCCUGAUGAGGGGGAUAACUACUGGAAACGGUAGCUAAUACCGCAUAACGUCGCAAGACCAAAGAGGGGGGACCUUCGGGCCUCUUGCCAUCGGAUGUGCCCAGAUGGGAUUAGCUAGUAGGUGGGGUAACGGCUCACCUAGGCGACGAUCCCUAGCUGGUCUGAGAGGAUGACCAGCCACACUGGAACUGAGACACGGUCCAGACUCCUACGGGAGGCAGCAGUGGGGAAUAUUGCACAAUGGGCGCAAGCCUGAUGCAGCCAUGCCGCGUGUAUGAAGAAGGCCUUCGGGUUGUAAAGUACUUUCAGCGGGGAGGAAGGGAGUAAAGUUAAUACCUUUGCUCAUUGACGUUACCCGCAGAAGAAGCACCGGCUAACUCCGUG
rnacentral:rRNA from 1 species